rnacentral:rRNA from 1 species
UGAGGACGACGUCAAGUCAUCAUGGCCCCUAUGUCCAGGGCUACACACGUGCUACAAUGGGCGAUACAGAGUGACGCGAAGCCGCGAGGUGGAGCAAAUACGCAGAAAUCGCUCUCAGUUCGGAUUGGAGUCUGAAACCCGACUCCAUGAAGGUGGAAUCGCUAGUAAUCGCGCAUCAGCAUGGCGCGGUCGAAUACGUUCCCGGGCCUU